UACAGAGGGUGCAAGCGUUAAUCGGAAUUACUGGGCGUAAAGCGCACGUAGGUGGCUUGAUAAGUUGGGUGUGAAAUCCCCGGGCUUAACCUGGGAAUUGCAUUCAAGACUGUCUUGCUAGAGUGUGGAAGAGGGAAGCGGAAUUCCAGGUGUAGCGGUGAAAUGCGUAGAUAUCUGGAGGAACAUCAGUGGCGAAGGCGGCUUCCUGGUCCAACACUGACACUGAGGUGCGAAAGCGUGGGGAGCAAACAGGGA
rnacentral:rRNA from 1 species